GCACAAGGCGGCGGAGCAGUGCGGUAUUAAUUCGAUGCAACGCGAAGAACCUUACCAAGGCUUGACAUACACCGGUAACGCCCAGAGAUGGGUGCCCCUUUGUGGUCGGUGUACAGGUGGUGCAUGGUUGUCGUCAGCUCGUGUCGUGAGAUGUUGGGUUAAGUCCCGCAACGAGCGCAACCCUCGUCCUAUGUUGCCAGCGGGUCAUGCCGGGGACUCAUGGGAGACUGCCGGGGUCAACUCGGAGGAAGGUGGGAUGACGUCAAAUCAUCAUGCCCCUUAUGUCUUGGGCUUCACGCAUGCUACAAUGGCCGGUACAAAGGGCUGCGAUACCGCGAGGUGGAGCGAAUCCCAGAAAGCCGGUCUCAGUUCGGAUUGGGGUCUGCAACUCGACCCCAUGAAGUCGGAGUCGCUAGUAAUCGCAGAUCAGCAUGCUGCGGUGAAUACGUUCCCGGGCCUU
rnacentral:rRNA from 1 species